AGGCGACUCCGGUGACGGAUGGGCAUGCGGCGCAUUAGGUAGUUGGUAGGGUAACGGCCUACCAAGCCGACGAUGCGUAGGGGUUCUGAGAGGAAGGUCCCCCACAUUGGAACUGAGACACGGUCCAAACUCCUACGGGAGGCAGCAGUGAGGAAUAUUGGUCAAUGGCCGGAAGGCUGAACCAGCCAAGUCGCGUGAGGGAAUAAGGCCCUAUGGGUCGUAAACCUCUUUUGUCAGGGAGCAAAGGCGUCCACGUGUGGACGAGAGGAGAGUACCUGAAGAAAAAGCAUCGGCUAACUCCGUGCCAGCAGCCGCGGUAAUACGGAGGAUGCGAGCGUUAUCCGGAUUUAUUGGGUUUAAAGGGUGCGUAGGCGGAGUGUCAAGUCAGCGGUAAAAUUUCGGGGCUCAACCCCGUCGUGCCGUUGAAACUGACACCCUUGAGUGAGUGAGAAGUAAGCGGAAUGCGUGGUGUAGCGGUGAAAUGCAUAGAUAUCACGCAGAACGCCGAUUGCGAAGGCAGCUUACCGGCGCUCAACUGACGCUGAGGCACGAAAGUGCGGGUAUCGAACAGGAUUAGAUACCCUGGUAGUCCGCACAGUAAACGAUGAAUGCUAGAUGUCCGGGGCGAAUGAGCUCUGG
rnacentral:rRNA from 1 species